GCUACGGGUGGCAGCAGUGGGGAAUAUUGGACAAUGGGGGGAACCCUGAUCCAGCGACGCCGCGUGAGUGAAGAAGUAUUUCGGUAUGUAAAGCUCUAGCAGCAGGGAAGAAAGAAAUGACGGUACCUGACUAAGAAGCACCGGCUAACGACGUGCCAGCAGCCGCGGUAAUACGUAGGGGGCAAGCGUUAUCCGGAUUUACGGGGUGUAAAGGGAGCGUAGACGGCGAUGCAAGUCUGACGUGAAAGGCGGGGGCCCAACCUCCGGACUGCUUUGGAAACUGUAUGGCUGGAGUGCAGGAGUGGUCAUUGGAAUUCCUAGUGUAGCGGUGCAAUGCGUAGAUAUUAGGAGGAACACCAGUGGCGCAGGCGGCUUACUGGACUGUAACUGCCGUUGCGGCUCG
rnacentral:rRNA from 1 species